rnacentral:lncRNA from 7 species
AUGGCGUGUCUCGGCCGCGGAGCACAACCUCACAGAGUCGUGGAGUCCUCAGUCGGCAUCACCGGGCCACGGUGCAGGAAGGCAGACGGGCAAUGCUGGGCUCCCCCAAGCACCGCCACAGCCUUGGAUAACCAUGGCUUGGUCACAGCCGGAGCGUCGUGCAUCAGCUCAGGCUCUCAGCUACUCAAGUGCAUGAGCCAAGGCUCUGCUCGCGGCCUCCAAACUACUGAGUGCAGCCCUGCCGCAAGAACAAGACCCCAGCAAAGAGCAGAAGUCAACACAGAAAUUUAACAACUGGCUUCAUAAGCUGCAGUACCACGCGUGCCUAGAUGUGUCCACAGGAGAACUCAGAUGUAGGCACUGCCCGUCAAAGAAGGGCUGACUGCACCAUUUGGGCUGCCAGGCAAAAGAAAGUCGCGUUACCACACUUGUCACACUUGCGGAGGAAAGUAAUGACUGGUCGGUGGUGAGAUAUCCCGUAUUUAUUCUGUAACUCAGCAAUAACAGUGACUUUGCUGUUGUGAAAACACAAUAAACAGACUGCAGAGAGAAGGAACAGCAUUACAGACUCAAACCUUCUGCUUACAGAUAUCCAGAACACGUGAAGUAAGUUUCAAUCACUGAAUAAGCAAGAAGAGGCUUUUCUUUAAUGCAUCUCAGGCUCUCUUUGCUCUUUUUUUUUCUGACACGAUGACUUUAAUACUUUGAUGCUAACACCGUUAUUUAAAACAAAACAAAAUGGUUUUGCCACAACUGUUCACAGCACUCUACAGCGUGAGGGACCACGCUGUCCUCUGUGGAAAGGUGCACUGAAGUCCUAUCCCAUUACAUGUCUUGACUAGGUCUUACACGUGGAGGAAAAAUUAAAAGCAACAAGAGAGACCUAAGGGGAGGAUAGAGAGAUGAGAUACAGAACCGAAAUGCUCUUUGUUGCAGUUUGUUUUUCCAGUACCGCUGUUUGCAUGCAGCACGCUGUCUUUGUGGGCUUCAGGAAAAGGAUGACAGUCUUCAUUUAGUGCUGGAGCGAGUGAGAAACACAGGCUGUGCCAUUCCGAGGCACUGCAUUACAGUUAAUGACUACGCCUGAUAGAGAAUUGUUGCACAUUAACUAAUGCUAAGCUGCAGGGGAAUUCCAGGAAAAACAGGUAAGCCCGCUGCAGAAACAUCAGACGCUCCACAGUGCUGUAAGAAUAAAUGGAAAUUGACCAAAAUAAUUUCCACCAAUUUUUCCUUGCAAAAGCAUUAAUGUGUAUGCAUAACGCUGACGGUGUUUUACAUUCAUUCUUCUGCAGCCCUUCCUGCCCUCCCCUCCCCCCCGCCCUCCCCAGUUAAAAAAGCGAUGCUGUAUCAGAAUCACUUAAAAAUUCACCCAUCCAAGCAAUUGUACAGGAAAAACAAGUCUGCUUUUUAUAAAUGCGCAAAGAAACGCGAAGGCUGGUUGUGGGACAGUUUCUGGAGCAGGCUGCUAACAUCCCUUAGGAAGUGGGGUUGUGUUCCCAUUCCCACCAGGUGACCCGGGCUGGAGCCCACGGCACGGCGUGCUCUGCCAUCGGAGGCACCGGGCCAUUCCCUGCAGCACAAACAGGUACCUCACCUCUAGAGAAAGUUUCUCCCGUUAGAAAGAUCGCAUCCCCCGCUGAGGACACGCUGUAUCUCAAGGCUGCUUACAGCACAGCAAGGCAAAAUGCGCCGCGUCUCUUCUACGCUACGUUUAUUUAAAAGCCUUACGAAAAAGUAAUCUUUAUAAAUAGUAUAAAGAGCGAAACCACGAGGCUUCCACAGCUCAGUGUUCACUUGUCCGUAGAAAAACACAGACCUUUUGGAGAGGAGUUAUCAGGUCAAAUCCUAUCUGAACCUAGGGUGUGUGUACAGAGGGAUAUACGUAUCUAUAGGUUACAGGCAAGUGAGUAGUGUCGUACAGCAGCAUCCAUGGGACAGCAGCGGUCUUCUCUAACGAUGCCCACAGCUUCCGCUCCCCUCGGCCACUACUGUAUGAGAACUUCCAAGCACAGUUAAUUAGCAGCUGCGGGUCUCCUCCCGGCUGAGGGAACAUGCAUAGGAAUGCUCUGUAACUUCAGUUCUAAGAGCUGGAUCUGACACGUA